CCUACGGGCGACAGCAGUGGGGAAUCUUGGGCAAUGGGCGCAAGCCUGACGCAGCAACGCCGCGUGAGGGAAGAAGGCCCUCGGGUUGUAAACUUCUUUUAUCAGGGGCGAAACAAAUGACGGUAAAUGAUGAAUAAGUCAAGGCUAACUAAGUGCCAGCAGCCGCGUUAAUACGUAGGUGGCAAGCGUUAUCCGGAUUGACUGGGUGUAAGGGGCGUGUAGGCGGGACUGCAAGUCAGAUGUGAAAGCCAUGGGCUCAACCGGUGGACUGCAUUUGAAACUGUAGGACUUGAGUGUUGGAGAGGCAGGCGGAAUUCCGUGUGUAGCGGUGAAAUGCGUAGAUAUAUGGAGGAACACCAGUGGCGAAGGCGGCUUUCUGGACUAUAACUGACGCUGAGGCUCGAAAGCGUGGGGAGCAAACAGGAUUAGAUACCCUAGUAGUC
rnacentral:rRNA from 1 species